rnacentral:rRNA from 1 species
UCGUAGGUGAACCUGCGGAAGGAUCAUUACCGAGUGCAGGUCUGCCCCCGGGCAGGCCUAACCUCCCACCCGUGAAUACCUGACCAACGUUGCUUCGGCGGUGCGCCCCCCCCGGGGGGUAGCCGCCGGAGACCACACCGAACCUCCUGUCUUUAGUGUUGUCUGAGCUUGAUAGCAAACCUAUUAAAACUUUCAACAAUGGAUCACUUGGUUCCGGCAUCGAUGAAGAACGCAGCGAACUGCGAUAAGUAAUGUGAAUUGCAGAAUUCAGUGAAUCAUCGAGUCUUUGAACGCACAUUGCGCCCCCUGGCAUUCCGGGGGGCAUGCCUGUCCGAGCGUCAUUGCUGCCCUUCAAGCCCGGCUUGUGUGUUGGGUCGUCGUCCCCCCCGGGGGACGGGCCCGAAAGGCAGCGGCGGCACCGCGUCCGGUCCUCGAGCGUAUGGGGCUUUGUCACCCGCUCGAUUAGGGCCGGCCGGGCGCCAGCCGGCGUCUCCAACCUUCUAUUUUACCAGGUUGACCUCGGAUCAGGUAGGGAUACCCGCUGAACUUAAGCAUAUCAAUAAGCGGAGGA